UGCAGAGAUCUGUGGUGAAGGACUCAGAGAACUUGCUGGCUGCUGACUUCCUCCUGAAGAGGCUUGGCUGUAUGUCUACAAACCAUGCAUAUGUACAUGUGUACGUAUAGCAUGAGCACAAGUGCCUGAAUGAGAGCCCUGACCCUCCAGGGGUUGUUCUGGUCUCACAGGGCUGGAAGGCUCUCAGCUGUGUGAGCUUGCAGAAGAGCCAGUUCUGCUCAGCUUUGGCUUUUGGAGAGAAGAAAUGAUUGCUGGAGAAACGGAGCUGGGCAGCAAGUCCCUGCUCAGGAUGGGGUGAUGCAUUGAGCAUGGGAUAGCAAACAAAACACGUUGCUGCAUGGGAUCACUGCCCUGGGUGAUGGAAGCACUUGGCUUUAAAAAAAAUAAAUAAAAUAAAAGCAGGGAGAUUUUUUCUUUCCCCAGUCAUUUAUGCUGAAAAACACCCUCUGAGUGGGGCGUGAUUUCCUUCGGCAGCUGAAAUUGCCUGCCUCUUGCUUUCAGCUACAACCAGCCAGGGUUUCCAAAAUAAAA